UGGAAAUGGAAGUAUAUGGCUAUAUAUAGG
rnacentral:piRNA from 1 species